rfam:Tetraodon nigroviridis, WGS project CAAE01000000 data, contig: CNS0BZ3F, chromosome: 12
CUAGCAGCUGAUUGUCCAAACGCAAUUCUUGUGAAAAUCCAAAGCCUACCCGAGAAUUGUGCCUGGACAUCUGUUGCUGG